rnacentral:rRNA from 1 species
CCUACGGGAGGCAGCAGUGAGGAAUAUUGGUCAAUGGACGAGAGUCUGAACCAGCCAAGUAGCGUGAAGGAUGAUUGCCCUAUGGGUUGUAAACUUCUUUUAUAAAGGAAUAAAACGAGGCACGUGUGCCUUUUUGCAUGUACUUUAUGAAUAAGGAUCGGCUAACUCCGUGCCAGCAGCCGCGGUAAUACGGAGGAUCCGAGCGUUAUCCGGAUUUAUUGGGUGUAAAGGGAGCGUAGAUGGGUUGUUAAGUCAGUUGUGAAAGUUUGCGGCUCAACCGUAAAAUUGCAAUUGAUACUGGCAGUCUUGAGUACAGUUGAGGUAGGCGGAAUUCGUGGUGUAGCAGUGAAAUGCUUAGAUAUCACGAAGAACCCCGAUUGCGAAGGCAGCUUACUAAACUGUGACUGACAUUGAUGCUCGAAAGUGUGGGUAUCAAACAGGAUUAGAUACCCCUGUAGUC